CCAGGCCAUAACAGACAAUUGGAGUCUGGAUAGCUCCCCAGCUGGCCGGCUCCAUGUCAAACCAUUCAACCCAUGCCAGCAUGGAAAACAGACAUUAAACAAUGAUGUUGAUGAUGAU